GGAUGUUAGAGCAAUCUGACAGUGACAUCUGUCACUCCAUUAUAUGCCAGGUUUGAUUCGAGGGAUUUGGCUAGCUACAAGAUGUCCAGUGAUUCCCUCACUGGUUUUUAUUUGUCAUUUUGCCAUAGGCAUUGGUUGCAUCUUCAGAUGUCACCCAACUCAAAGAGGGUGACACUCUCAGAAGAUGGUAAAUAUGUAGUACACACAUUGAGCUAUUACACUCUAGUCCAUACUGUAGUCCAAGCAACAGAGUUAGCUGAACGUUCCUGCUAGAGACUCAAAACAAGUCUACAAGUUUUAUACUGAAAUGCCAAUUUAAGUUCUACUUUUAGUUUGUAAAACAUU
rfam:Equus caballus chromosome 4, whole genome shotgun sequence.